GACGAACCACACAAACGUUAUUCGGAAUUACUGGGCUUAAAGGGUGCGUAGGCGGCGCGGAAAGUAGGGUGUGAAAUCCCUCGGCUCAACCGAGGAAUUGCGCCCUAAACUACCGUGCUCGAGGGAGAUAGAGGUGAGCGGAACUUAGGGUGGAGCGGUGAAAUGCGUUGAUAUCCUAAGGAACACCGGUGGCGAAAGCGGCUCACUGGAUCUCUUCUGACGCUGAGGCACGAAAGCUAGGGUAGCGAA
rnacentral:rRNA from 1 species